AACGAACGCUGGCGGCAUGCCUAACACAUGCAAGUCGAACGAGACCUUCGGGUCUAGUGGCGCACGGGUGCGUAACGCGUGGGAACCUGCCCUUAGGUUCGGAAUAACUCCCCGAAAGGGGUGCUAAUACCGGAUAAUGUCUUCGGACCAAAGAUUUAUCGCCUUUGGUUGGGCCCGCGUUGGAUUCGCUAGUUGGUAGGGUAAAAGCCUACCAAGGCGACGAUCCAUAGCUGGUCUGGGAGGAUGAUCAGCCACACUGGGACUGAGACACGGCCCAGACUCCUACGGGAGGCAGCAGUGGGGAAUAUUGGACGAUGGGCGAAGGCCUGAUCCAGCAAUGCCGCGUGAGUGAUGAAGGCCUUAGGGUUGUAAAGCUCUUUUACCCGGGAUGAUAAUGACAGUACCGGGAGAAUAAGCGCCGGCUAACUCCGUG
rnacentral:rRNA from 1 species